GUCCACAUGGUGGAUUGUCACAUAUCACUGGGUCCAGCGUCAAGGUAAUGUGACUCUUCUUCAUGGGGCCUGUCCACAGGGUGGAUUGUUACAUAUACCUUGCCCAGCUCACAGGUAAUAUAGUGACUCUUGGACCAAGAUUCAGCACCCCAGUGGUGCUAUGACUACCUUACCAGGCCAAUAUUUGCAGAUGAAGUUGGGACACUCACAGCAGGAGUUGACUCUCAUAUCUGGAUUUGGGACAUUUGCAAAAUUGUACAAGCAGCAAAGAAGAGUCACAUAACCUAGACGCUGGGCCCAGCAAUAUGUCACAAUUCUCAAUGAAGGCCAGGAUCAGGCAGGUAAGUAGAGUCACAUCACUUAGGCAAUAAGCCCAAAGAUAUUUCAAAUGCAUUAUAUUGGGAAGGUCCAGGCUGGAGAGUUACAUCACAUAAGUAUUUGAUUGAGGUAUGUCACAUUUGAUCGAGGUAUGCCUGGAAGGCAGCUGCCUCCACCUCCCCAAAUUUAGAACCUCACCAGUGGGAUCUGUUCAUGUGUGUGGGUGACAAUUCUGCCAGCUGGUUGUGCAUAUGCAAAUAACAACCUCAGUUUCUUAUGAAAUUGGGCUGUGUUAUGACACGCCCUGUUUCCCCCUAGGGCAUUAUAUAGUAUGCAUAAGUGCUGCAGUUUUCUGUGACCUCUGUGCAAGUAAAAAACCCAGAACCACAACUAUUGCCCUAAGCCUAACAGUGAAAGCCAACAUCUUUUCUAUUAGCUGGAUUUCGUAUAAGAGAUAACACUGAGCUUGUGAGUUGAGUUGAAACCUGACUUACUUUUCAACCUGUGGCCAAAUCCACAUCUGACAGUCACAAUUCCAACCAUGGUAUGCAUUCGCAUGUGAGAUGUAUAACCUCAUCUGUGGGCUGUGUCUAUGUUUGAAGGUAAAGGUGACAAUCCCAAUUGUUGGCUGGAUUUACCUGUGAGAGUCACAAUGUCCACUGUAGGCAGGGCCCAGGUAGGAAAGUCACAUUAUUUGGGUGCAGGGUCCAGUGAUGUGUCACACUUCCUACUGGAAGCAAGGCCCUAGCAGAAGGGAAGAGUCACAUAAUCUAGGUGAUGGGCUUAAAGAUAUAUCACAAUUUUUUCUGUGGGCAGGGCCCAGGUAGAAAAAGAUGGUAAUGUCACCUAGGUGAUAGGCUCAGAGAUAUGUCAAAAUUUUCUCUAGGAACAGGACCAAAAUAGAAGAGUCACAUUGCCAACUUUUAUGGCCCAAAUGUAUGUCCCUGUCCCAUUUUGAGCUUUACAAAAAAAUAGUCAAAUAUCAGGAGCUGGGAAAAGAUCUGUCACAAUCACACCUGCAGUAAUAUCCAGAGAUUAGAUUUACAGUCCCACACUGGUCCCAACACCAGAUAAGAGAGUGAACACGUGUGAGUUGAGUACAAGCAUGCAAGUCAGAAUCUCAACGGUGAAUUGGACUCAUGCAUGAGAGCCCCAAGACCACCUGCAGACUCUUUCUUGGUAGGAGAGUAACAGCCUCACAUGUGUGCUGAAUAUUUGUCUGAUAUCAUCUUUUUUGUUGAGCAGAUUCACAUAUAAG